rnacentral:rRNA from 1 species
AUUGAACGCUGGCGGCAGGCCUAACACAUGCAAGUCGAACGGUAACAGGAAGCAGCUUGCUGCUUCGCUGACGAGUGGCGGACGGGUGAGUAAUGUCUGGGAAGCUGCCUGAUGGAGGGGGAUAACUACUGGAAACGGUAGCUAAUACCGCAUAAUGUCGCAAGACCAAAGAGGGGGACCUUCGGGCCUCUUGCCAUCGGAUGUUCCCAGAUGGGAUUAGCUUGUUGGUGGGGUAACGGCUCACCAAGGCGACGAUCCCUAGCUGGUCUGAGAGGAUGACCAGCCACACUGGAACUGAGACACGGUCCAGACUCCUACGGGAGGCAGCAGUGGGGAAUAUUGCACAAUGGGCGCAAGCCUGAUGCAGCCAUGCCGCGUGUAUGAAGAAGGCCUUCGGGCUGUAAAGUACUUUCAGCGGGGAGGAAGGGAGUAAAGUUAAUACCUUUGCUCAUUGACGUUACCCGCAGAAGAAGCACCGGCUAACUCCGUG